GCCUGGGUGGCUCAGUUGGUUAAGCAUCCGACUUCAGCUCAGGUCAUGAUCUCGUGGUUUGUGGGUUCGAGCCCCACAUCGGGCU
rnacentral:tRNA from 1 species